rnacentral:rRNA from 1 species
CAGCCGCCACGGUAAUACGAAGGUCCCGAGCGUUGUUCGGAAUCACUGGGCGUAAAGGGAGCGUAGGCGGCGUGGUAAGCCAGAUGUGAAAUCCCGGGGCUCAACCCCGGAACUGCAUCCGAUACUGCCAUGCUAGAGGAUUGGAGAGGUAGCUGGAAUUCUUGGUGUAGCAGUGAAAUGCGUGGAGAUCAAGAGGAACACUCGUGGCGAAAGCGAGCUACUGGACAAUAACUGACGCUGAGGCUCGAAGGCCAGGGUAGCGAAAGGGAUUAGAUACCCCCGUAGUCCCUGUCUCUUAUAC